UAUCUGCGAAGAAAGGUUCCUACCAGUAACGCUGUGACUUUGGUUACAAAUAAAGUAAUAUAGUGGCUUACAUUGUAUGAAAUCGACAACACAUUAUUAUUCAAUGUUUUUAAAGUGCGAAAUGAAUCGACAACGCACCUGCUUGCCUUUUUUCUGUGUCUGGAGACCGAAUAUAUCAAUUUUGAUACUCGACAAGGCCUUAGAACGUGCCACAGAGGAUUGGGUAAACUUGGUCCUGCAUGUACACCUGCUGUUGCCUGGCCUCAUGUGAGUACAGUUCAACAUGUGGACACUAGAUGGCGCACAUGUCCUGAGGGUGAAACAGAUUACCGAGUUGUAAUGACACAUACAGGCAGGCUGGGUAAAAGCUGACGAUCCACGGCAGAGUUUUUGGAGGUACAGAGGAUGGAUAUCGAAGCUGGGUGCCCAGAGGGCUCGGACGAAGCUGCUCAUAAUAGAGAAAAAGGGCUACAUGGCUCCGAUGACUGUUUCCAUCCAAACCUUACAGAGGUCAUCAUCUCUGCUGAGAAACAGUAAAGGAAGAGAACGAGUGAUAAAAUGUGGAUAAAAUGAGAGAGGGAGAGAUAAAAAGGAGAAUACGGAAUACUAUAUAAGGUACAUGCUAGGUGACAAUAUUUCUAAAAGAUUACAGCCUUGUGUGACUAUAGUACAUUUGCCAGAAGAACUGUCAUUUACCUCCUGAAAUACAUGUUGUUUCCUGUUUACACAGGAAGUAACAAGAUUCCCUUCUAGUCAAGUGGCCACUGAAGUGUUCCAACCUGAAUGACAUUGAGCUCCUUCGACUGGCUGGUGCAAAGGGCCGAGUAAAAGCUAAUCAGGCUGUAAUUCAAGAUUCGCCUGGCCACUUACAAUCAAUACUCGCACAAUCCCAAUUAAAGCUUGCCGGGUCAGUGGAGGGCCACCAAUUCCUUUACAAGUUAAAUGCAAUACUUAAAUCUAAAGCAAUCUCAGUGUGGCCUUCGAUGGUUUAAUGGCUCGUGCCAACAGGAGUGUCCAGUUAAAAGUGUAAGAAGGACACAGGGUGGACAGGUUAUAGUGACAAAUGCUUCCCCACCCCCAAAUACCCAUAUACUUUUUAAGCAUAAUUUUAAAGGCAGGGCUAUUACUAGUAAUGGAGUAAUUGUACAGUGUGGUAUUGGUAAAGGAUCUGAAUACUUCCUCCAGCAUUACAUUUGUCUCACGGCUUUAGCUAAUCUGAAUAUUCAGAUUUUACAUUUUCAAAAAAUCAUCCAAGUUUUUAAAAUAUGAUGUGUUUCUGUUGAAUAUACUACAAAACAGUUUAAAAUGUUGUUAAAAUGAGUUCCAGUCAAAGGCUACUUUACAUUAAUGCAUCAGAAAUAACAAUCCAAUCUUUUACUUUCAAGACUUAAAGGAAGCCUAUAUUUGUCCAAUAACACUAACUCACUGUUACUUCUAAAAGGGUAUUUCUAUAUCGCAGUAUCGUUUACUUAAAUAACAAAUCUGAAUACUUCCUCCACCGCUGCUCAGAGAUCACAGUUCCUCCAUCAACAUCUAUAAGUCACCUAUUUUUCCUAUUUUCCUUCCAGUUUUCUCCCUCUGAGCUUUUGCCAUUGCAUCCAUGUCUUCUAUCACAAUUUUGACCCACAGAAAGGAAUUCUCACAAGAUAUCAAAACAAAAAUCUAUAUUUAAUAUGGGAGCAAUUACAAAGCGAAGUUGGCUGCACAGGGCCGUUGUCACCCAAGCGCGUGUUUUUCAUCAAAUAGGUCAUUAGACGAUGAUGGAUGUAAACCUAUAAAGUAUCUAAACUGGACCUUUUAACAAUCCACGAGCAACACUAUCAUUUCUCUAAUAGAACCUGCUGACCGUGUCAUUCCCUCCUGCCAUUUGUCAUUUUUCCUUGUGAAAUAAUCAAUAUCUGGGCGCUUUGAAAUAAAUAAUAUAAAAGUCAUAGUAACCUACCCGAGGAGCAACAAAAAUAGACUUAUGGAGCAUUCAGAAGGCCGAAAUGGCCUCUGGGCAAUGUCUACUGUAUGUUUCUAAUCAAUGCAUAAUAUAAACUGUAUUUUUUAAUACAGAAUCUUAGUUUGUACAGUUUAUUUCCAGGAUUAGUAUCUGUUGUGUUCUUUUUAACCCUGUGUAUGGACUGCUAAAGCAUUGUGGUAAAGCGUGAAUAUUACUGGGCCCUUCAUCAAUCUCUAUUGGACUAUUCAAAAGCACAACCUGGGAAUCAGGCCAAUAUGAUAACAGCCUACAAGAAUCACUUUUAUCUAACGGUUAAACUAAUAAUACAGAGGGGAGUAAUGAUAUCUGCAUACUGAGGAGUUCCCAGAUUACAUAUUUAUUUAUUUCAUGCACCAUUGGUCACGUAGACCUUCAUCAGGCAUCAGCUUCUCUUCUGUGUUAAAUGUUAACACCUUAAACACAACAAUAAUUCUGGGGUCAAAUAUUGGCCACUUGUGAAAAAGUCUCAGAUAUUUAUAAAUCAGGAAGUGAACUAAUC